rnacentral:rRNA from 1 species
AUGCUCCACGACCUCCGGGGCUUCCCGAGCCGCCGGAUCUCCUGCUUCAUGCUCACGCACUCCUUCUCCAGCUCCGACACCCGCGCCUUCACGUUGCUCAUGGUCUCGCUUCCCUUCCCCUCGGGCGUGACCAUCACCACCUCCUCGUCCUGGCCGGCCACGCCGCUGUCCACAACGGCACUGCCCUUGGGGACGAUGGCGCCGGCGUUGCCGGGGUGGUGCAGGCGCGCGCCGUCGGUGGCCGUGGCGGCGUUGUCCGACACGAAGAACCACCCGGCGAUGGAGGUGCGGAGGCGCAGCUGCUCGAAGAAGAGCACCUGCACCACCACCCGCAGCGGCAGCCGCUCGUUCUGCGCUGCGUGCGUGCACGCCUCCAGCGACAGCUUCUGGCAGUUCAUCAGCCGGCACAGCUGCUCCCGCUCCGACUCCGACAGCCAAUGGUGCGACUGCACGCACGCGGCUCAAAUGUUAAGUAAGAGAGAGACAGUGAUGAAAUGCCAACGGAGCAAACCGAAAUGUGUCCGUGAGUUGUUGUGA